CGAAAGAAAGAAUUCUUCGAAUUACUGCUAUCAGCCCGGCCUCUAAUGCUAGUGCAACAGAUGUUGCUUCUAUUUGCACGAGGAUUGAUACUAUUGGCACAGCCAACGAUAUCAUUGGCAUAGACUUCGACUGCUAUUGCCACGGCUGGUGACGCGCGCACACGUUACAACAGCGUUGAUAGUCAGAAUGGGAGGGAGAGGGAGAGAGAGAGAGACAGAGACAGACAGAGAGAGAGAGAGAGAGAGAGAGAGAGAGAGUAGAAGUGUGAGUGGAGAUAUGAGGGGGACAGAGUGAGGAGAAAAAGCAAGCAAGAAGCAAGGAAGGGGGUUUUGUAAAUAUCAAAAAACAAAAACAACGGAAAGGAAGGGAAAAAAAAGAGUAAAAAGCAGAGCACGGCGUAAGAGACGGAGUGAAGAAGUAUUGAAGGUAGUGGUAGGAACUGAACUGGUGGUCACCUCAACACCAGCAGCAACACUGAGACUGUAGUAUCAACCAAAAACAAGAACGACAACAGCAACAACUUCCAUCAUCAGCAUCAUCAUCAUUACCAUCAUCCACAUCACUACCAUACCCAUACUCAUCACCAUCAUCAUCAUCGUCAUCGUCAUCGUCGUAGUCCUUAUAACCGCCACCAUCGUCGUCUGCUCAACCACCACCAAACAGCCCACCUCUCCCCACGAACGCUUCUCCCACAACCAAAGCCCCCCAUCAUCAUCAUCGUCAUCGUCAUCAUCAUCAUCGUCAUCAUCAACAUCGUCAUCGUUUCGAUAGUGACCACCUCCACCGCUGUCCUGUCGUCGCUGCCGUCGAAUACAAGCCAUCAUCAUCAUCAUCAUCAUCAUUGACCAGUUGUUGUUGUUGUUGUUGUUGAUGUUGUCCAGCUUCUUGAGACUUAGAUUUACCACCACCACCACCACCACCGCCACUACCAUCACGAUCACCACCACGGCGGCGACGGCAACUACCACCAGCAAGCACCUCCAACGCCUCCUUCACCAUCACCACCUACAACACCAUCACUACCACCACCACAACCACCACAACCACCACCACCACCACCAGCUUUAUCAUCGACACUUCCAUCAUCACCACUUCUGCAUCAACCACUAACACCACCACUACCACCACCACCAUCACCACCACACCACCGCCAUCAUCACCACACUCAUUAACCACCACCACAAUCAUCACCAUCGCCUCUACAGCCCCAUUCACCACCACCACCAUUAACACCAUCACCUCCACUACUACUACUACUAUUACUACUACUACUACUACUACUACUACAGCAUAUACUUCUACUAUCAACUCCCGUGUCUUGGGGAAUAUAACCACCAAAUAUAUAUAAAAAUUCGACAAUGCAAAAAGCGAUCCGAUUCAAUGAGAGCCAAAUAUUAUAUUUGGCCCAAAAGGCUCGCCAGGAGAACACUCUGUGCGGUUACCUGUACAAGAAAAGUUCCGAUACUGGCAAGUGGCAGCUCAGGUGGUUCAUACUUUACCAGAAUUUCCUGUUUUACUAUGAGAAUGAUUCUGCAAGCCGGCCGUCAGGAGUGGCCCUGUUAGAAGGAAGCUAUUGUGACCGAGCAGUCGUAACUACCAGUAACAAAACCAAGGAUGAAAAACAGUUUUGUUUUAGUAUCACCUAUCACCAAAGUGCCGGACAACGUCAAUAUGAUCUUAAGGCGGACACCGAGGCUGACUGCAUUGCCUGGAUUGAAGCCAUUCGACAAGCUAGCUAUAGCAAGAUGAUAGAAUGCAAAGAAGAAUUGGAACAGAAACAUUUGCAUCUUCUACAGAUAUUAGACAGUGAAAGGCAGGCGAAAUGGCAUUAUGUCCAGCAAACAGAAGAACACACUGCCGAAAUUAAGAAACUUAAAAACGAGUACACUCAGCUCCUAAAAUAUAAGGCUGAAAGAAAGUUGUCAAAUCACCGAUUGGCCGAGGAAAAUGAGGAAAUUAGGAAAAUCAAGAAGGUUCAAAGUUUUUUUCGUGGUUGGCUCUGUCGACGGCGUUGGAAACAAAUUGUGGAGCUCUACAUCCGUUCUCCUCAUGCCGAAAGCAUGAGGAAACGUAACAGCAUUGUGUUCAAUAUGGUUGAAAGUGAAGAGGAAUAUAAUAGGCAGCUAUCCACUCUUGUUACAUGUUUUCUUCGACCUUUUAGGAUGGCUGCCAGCUCUAAGAAACCCCCCAUCACACACGAGGAUGUCAAUUCUAUAUUUCUAAAUAGCGAAACUUUAUUGUUCUUACACCAAAUCUUCUUAAAAGGAUUAUCAGCAAGGUUAGAAAAUUGGCCAACAUUAGUAUUAGGUGAUCUUUUUGACAUCCUUUUACCUAUGUUAUGUAUCUAUCAGGAGUAUGUUAGGAACCAUCAUUACAGUUUACAAGUUUUAGCAGAAUAUAAACAAAAACCAGACUUUAACAAUUUACUUAAACGCUAUGAAGAAAAACCAUUAUGUGAGGGGAGAAGCGUCGAAAUAUUCCUCACACAUCCUAUGCAUCAGAUCCCUAGGUAUAUAAUUACUCUUCACGAACUUUUGGCACACACUCCUCAUGACCAUGUGGAGAGAGAGAAGCUAGAGUAUGCCCAAAGUAAACUGGAAGAGUUAUCACGCAUAAUGCAUGAUGAAGUAAGUGAAACUGAAAACAUACGAAAAAAUUUAGCUGUCGAACGGAUGAUAAUUGAAGGAUGUGAUAUUUUGUUAGACGUCAAUCAAACAUUUAUCCGGCAAGGACUUCUACUUCAGUUGUUGCCAGAUAAACCAAAGAAUCUGCUCGGUCUUUCUUCUAAACGAGAAGUUGUGCGACAAGUCUUUCUUUUCUCUAAUCAUAUGUUGCUUACAAGCCGGGCAUCCAAUGGAAGACUGCACCUUGCCAAGAACUCAAGUAAGCAUUUGAAAGGACAAUUCUUAGACAAAUAUAGACAACAAGGGAAAAUUCCUCUGAUAGACUGCACACUUAUUGAAGAUCCCAGUUCUGAAGUUUUCCUCGUUGAUGAAGACACUUAUUCUUUAGACUCGGUUGGCAGUUUUGGCAGUCAGUCACUUGGUCCAAAUGCAUUGGGAAACCAAACUGAUGGAAAAGAUCGACCAGAUCAUCAUGGUCUUGAAUUCCGUCUUAUUAUAGAUUCAAAAAGUGGACCACCAUUAACACUGUCCCUAGUGGCAGCAACCCCACAAGAAAAAGCUGCUUGGUGUAGUGAGAUUAGUCAGUGCAUUGAAAAUCUUCACUACAGCGACCUUCUGAACAGCUCCAUGUGGGAAUCUUCAUCAGUGACUAUGCCACAGUCAGUUAGACAUAUAUGGAAGAAACGAACUUAUAGCCGCCCUGUUUUCAGGCAAAAGCUUCAGUCUGAUCCAAAGCUUUUUCGUGAUGAUGUGGAUAUAAAAUUUAGCAGAACCCUUAAUUCUUGCAGAGUCCCUCAGAUUCGACAUGCCACCGUUGACCGCCUUCUUGAUCGAUUAACAGAUCUGCGAUUUCUUAGUAUUGAUUUUCUCAACACGUUUCUACUCACAUAUAAAGUGUUCACUACAGGUUAUACUGUCCUUGAAGCACUAAGAAAAGUAUAUCGAAAUCCAGACUGCUGUGGAAACUUAGAAGCAAUUUCACAUAUGAACGAUCAAGAUGGCUAUCAAGAAGGUCAUGAUAAUACGGUUCAAUUCAGUGGAAGCCCUCCAGAUUCCCGUCUACUUAUCCGACCUCAGCCGAAUGGCCGUCGAAUCAGCACGGGCUGUAUGAGAACAGAGAUCACAGGUGAUAGUAGACAAGUGGCUGCUGACAAAGCUACCGUUCCUGCAGCACCCCCAUGCACUCCCAGUGCAUUUCACAAAUAUCGUGGUGGUGAUUCAACAGAAAGUGAAGAAAGCCAAUCGGAAAUAUCUUCCUAUCUUAAACCCUCCAGGCCCAAGUUAGCGCCAAUUGCUUCAUGUGAAACUUUAUAUGAUCAUGAAAUUCCUAUUAUCACAACGUCUGAUGAUGUCUUCCUGAAGGAGUCGAAAGCUGUUAUGGAAAAUUAUCCAAUUUCACUAAAAGACUGUGAUGAAUUGGAGAAUGAGAAGCAUGCUAAGCUCUUGGCUCCUUCAACCACACCUGUGUAUGUUUCAUCAUCAGAAACAUUAUAUGACGGGCUCACUCACGCUACACUGAGUUCUACUCCAAGUACAGACACUUUAACCCCUAAAUCAAUGAAAGUCAGCCCGGCUACUUCCCCCAUAAGCCCUUCCAGACAAUUUGUGCCAAACAAAUUAAUAAGCGAUAGUUUUCUUGGACAAGCAGUCAGCUCAUCAUCAGGCCUUACAAGUCCUCGGAAGUUUGUGCCAAUCAAUGUCGGUGACUCGAGAUUAUCAAGGCCAUCUACUCCAGUAAAAAGUGGCACACCAAUUUCAUCUCCAGUUAGUAGUCCCCGAAAGAGCCUACCGAUGAAACAAGUGGAGUUCUAUACUCGGCCAUCAACCCCAGUGAAAGCUACUGGCAGUUUACAUAGCCUUGAUUCAAUCUCAUGUUCUUCGAUUGAGAGUCCAACCAAGGCUUUUACUGCCAAAAUGACGUCCUCCCCAAGUAAAACCCCAGUACUAUCAGCCUCCCCAAGACACAUGCAGUCUCCAAGAGGCUCAGUUGUUAGAUCUCCAACAUCGAGUCCAAAGCUCCGCCGUGCCCCAUCUCCAAUCCUUGGUUACAGUUACUCUUCUCCAAACAUGAUAGUACCCAACAUGAAAAAUAUAUUUUCCAGCAAAAGAGGUAGUGCAGAAGCUGAAUCAAUUUCAACUCCCAGAAGCAGUUUUGCCCAGGCAGAUGGUUCACCCCCGCAGGCUAGAGCGGGAACUGUAGUUACGUCGUCACGCCAGUCAAAACGGCGAUCCAGUUCUUCUGCAGCUACCACUGCAUUUGCUGCUGCAACUGCAGGUUCAACAAAUCCACUCGAUCACCCAAAAGGAAGCCGGCAAUAUUUAAAUCCAGUGGAUACGAAAACAAAGAAACGAGAAUCAGUGUUAAGUGCAGCAGCUACGAUGAGGGUUCUAAAUGUAAUGAAACAUUGGGUUUCAAAACACUAUCAGGAUUUCGACACUGAUGCACAAUUGAAAGCUUUUUUGAUUGAUUUACUUGAAGAAAUGGUGUGCAACACCUCUUUACUACCAGCUGAGCAUAAAGCAGCUGCAGGCAUAUUACGCAUAAUCAACCAGGAGAGCCAAGAUAGCAAUAAAGUUGAUUUAGAUAUAUUAUUAGCCCCACCUGCAACAUCUUCAACAGACACGUCAGAUUCAUUAUCAGCAUUGGAUAUUGCAGAACAACUCACUUAUUUAGACCAUAAAAUUUUUAUUGCAAUUCGCAUGAACUGUUAUCUCAGACGUGGAUGAAACCAGAUAAGGAAGUCAGGGCACCACAUGUGCAUUUAGUCACAAAAAGAUUCAAUGAGGUGAGUCGUUUGGUAGUGUCGGAAAUAGUCGGACGUACCAAUAUACAAGACAGAGUAGCAUGUCUUGAAAAGUGGGCUGCAAUCGCAGAUAUUUGUCGCUGCAUGCACAAUUAUAAUGGUGUCUUACAGAUAUGUGCUG
rnacentral:misc_RNA from 1 species